AUGUAUAUUCUUUGCACUUUGCGAUUAUGUCUUCUCUUCUGCUGCACGAACCUUGCACCCAGCUGAUUCCAGACGCCAUAUUUGUUUACAAAUGUGGCAGUAUACAUGUGAAGUGUUACGACAGAAAAAGGAACCUGUGACCACUGGAGGCAGUGCCACAAGUUCCUCCAAAUGUCGUAACACAACAUACACACAUAUGUAAUACUAACUAAUGUAAAUCCACCCGAUUAUGGAGGUUUAAACCUUCGAAACGCGUCGUGGAAAAAAUAAAACGGUUACUGGUAACAGUAAA